rnacentral:lncRNA from 1 species
CACCGACUUUGUGCUGGUGCUCUCGGGGACGUGGGGAUAAACAACCUCCCGGGCAACCACAGCCUCCGUGGGAGAUAAGUUGCAUCUGCAGGCCAAACUUCCGCAAAAGUCACACCCUUAGGGUUAUCUUCUUGUGCUAAUAAUUAUGCCUCCCACCUCAC